UUUGCAUAUCCCAAAAGCGGAGGAAAAGAAACCAACAGGGAUUGCCUCAGUAACGGCGAGUGAAGCGGCAACAGCUCAAAUUUGAAAUCUGGCCUCUUUGGGGUCCGAGUUGUAAUUUGUAGAGGAUGUUUCGGGCACCGCUCCGGUUUAAAUUUCUUGGAACAGAAUGUCAAAGAGGGUGAGAACCCCGUCUUGGACCGGCAGUAGGGCCCAUGUGAAACUCCUUCGACGAGUCGAGUUGUUUGGGAAUGCAGCUCAAAAUGGGUGGUAAAUUUCAUCUAAAGCUAAAUAUUGGCCAGAGACCGAUAGCGCACAAGUAGAGUGAUCGAAAGAUGAAAAGCACUUUGAAAAGAGAGUUAAACAGUACGUGAAAUUGUUGAAAGGGAAGCGCUUGCAACCAGACUUGCGCGCGGCGGUUCCCCCUUCCUUUUGGUUGGGUUAUUCCGCCGUGUCCAGGCCAACAUCGGUUCUGGGGGUCGGUUAAAGGCCUGGGGAAUGUAUCUACCCUUCGGGCGUAGACUUAUAGCCCCGGGUGUCAUGCGACCUCCCGGGACCGAGGAACGCGCUUCGGCUCGGAUGUUGGCGUAAUGGUUGUCAGCGACCCGUCUUGAACCCACGGGACCA
rnacentral:rRNA from 1 species